CUCUCCCACCUAUGCCACCUAGGAUGCCACGUCAUAAAUUAGGCUCUCUUGCACGCGACACGUGUCACUCGGUAAUGAAACUUACCGUUUCAUUAAACAAAAGGAAAUUUGUGGGCUUUUGUUCAGUUAUUGGUCCGUAAAGUGCCUCUUCUUUGUAGUUGUGAAGCCGACACUCAUAUCUAGGGUUCAUCGCCUACUGCGUUUUCUAUUAAUGGAGGUCUUGAGUCUUUAAUGGAGGAUCACUUUCGUCAAUAAUCGUUGCGUUUCUGUUGGUUCGCGUCGUUUCGUUAUCUAUUCUUCUCCUCACAUGAGUUACAAGUUGCAUUGAUUCAACUUUAUUAACGAGAUCUUAACUCUUACCACCAUCUGCAACCAAGAUCAUUCAUUCAAUGAUCCGUAUCCCUCUUCCAAUCGGUGGAUCUCCACCUAUAAAAAGAUUCUGGGAAAAUAGGAACUUCAAGCGAUGUGGCUCUUUUCAGCUAGCGUUACUCGCCUCAACAACUUAAACAAGAGAACCCGUGAUGUGAUGGCUUCAAGUUUGUAUGUUUACUAUUCUUUGAGAUAUGAGAUGACUGUAUUCAAGCUACCCUUGCACCAUUCUGCAACACUUUGUCAUGAUGCGUUGGAUCAGUAAACACUUCUGAAUCUCUUGCUUCGCAAUACAACCUUUAUGACCAAGCAGAGAAGUUGAGAUCAAAAGUACCAAGAUUUAAAGCACGUUCCAACCAACAGGUUUAUCUUUUAGUAGAUAUUCUUUCAUACCAAUUGGUUAUUGUAGCUUUCUAGAUUAGAGUUUAUAUUAUUUCUCUGAUCUCUCACUUAUGCUAGCCUUUCCACAGUAAAUUGGAAAGUAAGUAAUAUUGGAAACACAACUCCGUUCCGUUAGUCUCUCGAUCAAAGGCCAUGAAGUCUUUCAAAAAAAAAAACAUUUUUAAAGCUUAUAAGAUGAUAUAUUCCUCUGUACAAAGACUUUGAUGGUGAAGCGUAGAGUAAAAAGAAAAGAAGGAUAUGACGAAAAUGGUUGUUAGUGUUGCAUCGAGAGAAAUACACAAUCUUCAUUGUUUUUUAGUGAGAGAUUUGGAAAUGGGUGAAUUUAAGAUUUUAGUUCUACCAUUAAAAAGGAAAGAGGAACUGGAAGCUCUAAGAGAUACAGAUUAUAGAAAAUCGAGAGCUAGCAACAGAAGCCUACGAAGAUGAAAAAGUAUUUAUUAAAUGGCACAGAAAUACAAGUCACAAGCUGGCACUGGCUUGCCAUGUUUUAAUAUUCUUCUGAUUUUUGUUGUUGUUAUCAAAAAAAUUAACUUCAAUUUCUAUAAGAGAUACAAACAAAUACAAAGAGAUAGAAAUUAAUAAAAUAAUAACAUCACAAAAUUUUAAAUCUGUAAACUUUUCUAAUGGAAUUUUAAAAUAAAUAAGGUAUUUGUCAAAACAGAAAAAAAAUUUAUACGUGAGAUUAGGGAUAGGGAAUAUGAUCAAAUCUUUCACAAGCUCAGAUUGCCCUUAUUAAUCUCAUCAUAAAUUGAUUUAAAUGAUUUUAACUAUUAUAUUCAGUUACUUAGCUUGGUUCAAAGUUAAGAAAAAACAAGUCCAAUCUAAUUUUUGAUUUGGUGUUGGUUUCAGGAUUUCAAUAUAAAAUUAUAAAUACAAAUUUUCACUUAAAAUAAUUAUUUAGACAAAAUAUAUAAGAACAAAUAAAACAUAUUGAAAUAUUUUUAAAUCCAAAAUAAAUCACAUCAUAUAGACAUUAAUAAUCUGAUUUUAACUACCAAAUAAACGAAAAUGAAAUUCACAUGAGAAUGAAAUUGUAUUUUAUUAAAUAAACAGCCACAAUAAAAAUGAUAAUAAUUAAAUUAAACAAUGACCUAAAACAUAUUCCACAGAAAAAUU